rnacentral:rRNA from 1 species
UACGUAGGGUGCGAGCGUUAAUCGGAAUUACUGGGCGUAAAGCGUGCGCAGGCGGUUCGUUAUGUCCGAUGUGAAAGCCCCGAGCUCAACUUGGGAAUGGCAUUGGAAACUGGCGGGCUGGAGUGUGGCAGAGGGGGGUGGAAUUCCACGUGUAGCAGGUGAAAUGCGUAGAGAUGUGGAGGAACACCGAUGGCGAAGGCAGCCCCCUGGGCCAACACUGACGCUCAGGCACGAAAGCGUGGGGAGCAAACGGG